CAACCCUCAAGCCUGGCUUGGUGUUGGAGUUCUGUUUGUUUAAAACAGGCUCUGAAAUACAGUGGCGAGCUCACCUGGACUCCGAGCGUAGUAGUUAACGUCGCUCAGGGCGUCCGGCGGGUUUCUGCCGUAAAAUCCCCUAUUUUACAGAAA
rnacentral:misc_RNA from 1 species